UACGUAGGGGGCAAGCGUUGUCCGGAUUUAUUGGGCGUAAAGAGCGUGUAGGCGGUUUGGUAGGUCCGCUGUGAAAACUCGAGCUCAACCUCGAGACGCCGGUGGAAACCAUCAGACUAGAGUCCGGAAGAGGAGAGUGGAAUUCCUGGUGUAGCGGUGAAAUGCGCAGAUAUCAGGAAGAACACCGGUGGCGAAGGCGGCAUCCUGGACCGGCAUUGACGCGUGAGGCGACGAAAGCCAGGGGAGCAAACAGG
rnacentral:rRNA from 1 species